AAAUAAGAGAAUGUAAUUUUGAAGUAACAAGUCUCAACUCAAGAUUAUGAAUGAAUAGAAAUAGUAUAACAAGGCGGGAUAGGACCUUUAUUGGGACUCCGGGACCGGGUGUUUUUAAGCUCGGGAUUACGGGAUUGACCCUUUUGGGAUCCGGGAUUUCGGGAUUUAAAUUUAUUUAAAUUCGUGACCACGGGAUUUUGUGUUUUUAAGCCCGGGAUUUCGGUAUUUGGACCCCUCCUUCCCGCCUCCCUCUAUUACGGUUGAAGAAAAGAGGCCAGUAAAGUUUUGUGACAUUUGUAACUGCAAUUUAAUAUUUAGUGGAAUGAGAGGUGAAAUGUGUUCAGAC
rnacentral:lncRNA from 1 species